GGAAAAUAAAAAUACUCGGAUAAAUAGAAAGAAGCAGAUAUUCUGGGAAGAGUAGGGUUUUUGAGUAUAUUCUAUCUCCAUAUUCUGUUUGAAAAAAAUGCUUUCAAUUUAAAUAACAAAUGGAGAGGAUCUCAAUCUUCACUCUUCAAUCCUCCAACCCUUUUCUUCAUUCUUCUUCUUCUUCUUGUUUAGCUUGGAAUCAGUGUCAGACCCACUUGGCUUUAAGCUCUCCCUUAAACCCCAUUGGAGGAGGAAGGGUCUGUGUGAAGCCAAGGACAAGCUCCUGCCGGUUUGUGGUGCUAUCUACCCACUCCAACCCCAAGAUUGUCAAGUCCAACAGGAGGUCACGGUACGGUCAGGCCCUGUCUCCUUAUGAUACUGAUGAAGAAGGUGAAGAAGACGACGAGGACGAGGAUGAAGACGAUGUUGGUGGGGCCUCGGAUGACGAUUGGUUGCUAAACGAUGACUUUGCAGAGAUUGCCGAUUUCAAUGUUAAAAAUAAGAGUUCUAAGUCAAAGAAGGGAUACAAGAGAAGUAGUACGAGAGAAGGAAACCAGAAACAAGCAGAGAAACACUGGGGCAGACCAUCAUUAGGGCUUUCAGCUGACAGAGGUCAUUUGAAUGACAGAAAUGGGAAAUACAGCCUUGAAAAAAGUAAUGGAAGUUAUGGUUAUGCGUCAAACAGAAUGGAAGUCAAAUCCUCGGAUGUUCGUAAAGCAAAGAUUACUAGAAGGCAAGCUAUGGAGAAAAAGUAUCCUCGACUGACUGAAGAGAUAGACUUGGAUGAGAAGUGGAUGCCCCUUCUUGAUUACCUAAGCACGUUUGGGCUUAAGGAAUCACACUUUAUCCAAAUGUAUGAGAGGCAUAUGCCUUCCCUUCAAAUAAACAUUUGUUCUGCAGAAGAAAGGUUGGAAUACUUGUUAAGCGUUGGUGUCAAGCAUAGAGAUAUAAGAAAAAUACUUCUGAGACAGCCACAGAUUUUAGAGUAUACAGUGGAGAAGAAUUUGAAGUCUCAUGUUGCUUUCUUGAUGAAUUUGGGUAUUCCAAGUUCCAGAGUGGGACAGAUAAUUGCUGCUGCUCCAUCCAUUUUUUCUUAUAGUGUUGAGAAUUCACUAAAACCCACUGUGAGAUACUUGGUUGAGGUUGGCAUUAAAGAAAAGGAUUUAGGUAAAGUUGUGCAGCUAAGUCCUCAGAUUCUGGUUCAGCGAAUUGAUAUAUCUUGGAAUACACGUUAUAUUUUCCUUUCAAAGGAAUUAGGAGCCCCCAGAGAUAGUGUAGUAAAGAUGGUGACGAAACAUCCCCAGCUUCUCCAUUACAGCAUUGAUGAUGGGUUACUGCCAAGGAUCAAUUUCCUUAGGAGCAUCGGAAUGCGUAAUGCUGAUAUCUUGAAAGUUUUGACUAGUCUCACACAGGUACUGUCAUUGUCAUUGGAAGAUAAUUUAAAGCCCAAGUACAUGUACUUGAUCAAUGAACUCCAUAAUGAAGUACACUCCUUGACAAAAUAUCCUAUGUACCUUAGCUUGUCUUUGGACCAGAGAAUUCGUCCUCGGCAUCGGUUCUUGGUUUCCCUAAAGAAAGCACCCAAGGGGCCAUUUCCUCUAAGUUCAUUGGUUCCUACCGAUGAAUGUUUCUGUCAGCAGUGGGCUGGAACUAGCUUAGAUACUUAUCUGGCAUUUCGGCAGAGAUUACUUCUCAAGGAGUUUGCAAAGAAGUUUGAAAGAAAAGGGUAGUAUGUUUCCUCAAGUUUGACCAAUGUCUAGAGAGACAUUUUUGGAAAGAAGAAUAGUUUCCAACUUCACCAAUCUACAUCUCCACUAUAAUAGAACUGCUCAUAAGGUUUCGAGUGAAGCUCAUACAAUAUAACCAUAAGCACCAUUACCAGGUUGCCAUCAACAAAAGGUUCGGUGCACUACUGUGCUAAGCUGCUCCAGUUUUGUACACCCUUGAUAUUUACAUAUUUGGAUGUAUGUUAUGAGGUUAAUAACCUAUUAAGUUCUGGUGAUUGGAAGGCAAAAAACGUCAAGGUUUUGUACUAUUUGUAAUUGAAGGACCAAAUGAGGUAGCUACACGGACUCAUGAAUGUUUUCACACCUUCUAGGCUUCUACACUAAUUCAUUUACUCCACUAUACAAGUGUGUCACAAUAGUAAGAUUUCAUCUUCUUACUCGUAUAUUUUCUCAUGAGAUGCGCUUCAAAAGUUCCAUUUCAAGUUGUUUGCGGUUUCCAUUUCAAGUUGUUCCUGGUUUCGUGGGAAUUUUGUAUGCUAAAUAUGGAAAUUGUUUAAACUUAUAUAAGGGCACAUUUUAUAUGCAGAAUAGAUAUAGGAAUAAAAUAACUAUUCUACAAGAUUAAUUAUUACUAUAUUUGGUAGAUUUUAAAUUUUUUA